rnacentral:rRNA from 1 species
CCUACGGGUGGCAGCAGUGGGGAAUAUUGCACAAUGGGCGAAAGCCUGAUGCAGCAACGCCGCGUGGGGGAUGACGGCCUUCGGGUUGUAAACCUCUUUUAGUAGGGAAGCGGUACCUGCAGAAAAAGGACCGGCUAACUACGUGCCAGCAGCCGCGGUAAUACGUAGGGUCCGAGCGUUGUCCGGAAUUAUUGGGCGUAAAGAGCUCGUAGGCGGUUCGUCGCGUCUGCCGUGAAAUCCUCAGGCUCAACCUGAGGCGUGCGGUGGGUACGGGCGAGCUAGAGUGCGGUAGGGGAGAAUGGAACUCCUGGUGUAGCGGUGGAAUGCGCAGAUAUCAGGAAGAACACCGAUGGCGAAGGCAGUUCUCUGGGCCGUACUGACGCUGAGGAGCGAAAGCGUGGGGAGCGAACAGGAUUAGAUACCCUGGUAGUC